rnacentral:rRNA from 1 species
CCGAUUUGAAGCAAMAACAAUUGAUCAUGCCACUGACAUUAGUUGAAGGGCCGCGGUAUUUUGACCGUGCAAAGGUAGCAUAAUCACUAGUCUUUUAAUUGAGGGCUGGAAUGAAUGGUUUGACGAAAUAUUGACUGUCUCUUUAUAAUAAAUAUAAUUUAACUUUUAAGUCAAAAGGCUUAAAUGAAUAUAAAAGACGAGAAGACCCUAUAGAUCUUUAUACAAUUAGGUAUAAUUAUUAAUGUGGUUGUAUUGAUUGUGGUUAUAAUAUUGUAUUUUGUUGGGGUGACAUGAAGAUAUAAGUAACUCUUUAUAAUGGGAACAUUGGUUUAUGAUUAAUUGAUCCGUUAUUAGCGAUUAUAAGAUAAAGUUACCUUAGGGAUAACAGCGUAAUUUUUUUUGAGAGUUCUUAUCGACAAAAAAGAUUGCGACCUCGAUGUUGGAUUAAGGAAUAUGAUUAGGUGUAGCAGUUUGAUUAAUAAGUCUGUUCGACUUUUAAAUCCUUACGUGAUCUAUUCCAGAAACCGGA